GACGAACGCUGGCGGCGUGCUUAACACAUGCAAGUCGAGCGAUGAAACUCCUUCGGGAAUGGAUUAGCGGCGGACGGGUGAGUAACACGUGGGUAACCUGCCUCAUAGAGGGGAAUAGCCUUCCGAAAGGAAGAUUAAUACCGCAUAAGAUUGUAGUACCGCAUGGUACAGCAAUUAAAGGAGUAAUCCGCUAUGAGAUGGACCCGCGUCGCAUUAGCUAGUUGGUGAGGUAACGGCUCACCAAGGCGGCGAUGCGUAGCCGACCUGAGAGGGUGAUCGGCCACAUUGGGACUGAGACACGGCCCAGACUCCUACGGGAGGCAGCAGUGGGGAAUAUUGCACAAUGGGGGAAACCCUGAUGCAGCAACGCCGCGUGAGUGAUGACGGUCUUCGGAUUGUAAAACUCUGUCUUCAGGGACGAUAAUGACGGUACCUGAGGAGGAAGCCACGGCUAACUACGUGCCAGCCGCCGCCGUAA
rnacentral:rRNA from 1 species